GAUGAACGCUAGCGGCAGGCCUAACACAUGCAAGUCGAACGGUAACAUAGAGAAGCUUGCUUUUCUGAUGACGAGUGGCGCACGGGUGCGUAACGCGUAUAGAACCUACCCUUUACAGGGGGAUAGCCCGGAGAAAUUCGGAUUAAUACCCCAUAGUACUACGAAGAGGCAUCUCUUUGUGGUUAAAGUAUUACGGUAAAGGAUGGCUAUGCGUCCUAUUAGUUCGUAGGUGAGGUAACGGCUCACCUAGACUUCGAUAGGUAGGGGCCCUGAGAGGGGGAUCCCCCACACUGGUACUGAGACACGGACCAGACUCCUACGGGAGGCAGCAGUGAGGAAUAUUGGACAAUGGUCGGGAGACUGAUCCAGCCAUGCCGCGUGCAGGAAGACUGCCCUAUGGGUUGUAAACUGCUUUUUUACGGGAAGAAUAAUACCCACGUGUGGGUAGAUGACGGUACCGUACGAAUAAGGACCG
rnacentral:rRNA from 1 species